rnacentral:tRNA from 1 species
GCCAGCGUAGCUUAAAUUAAAGCAUUACCUUGAAGGAGUUAAGACGGGCCCUAAAUAGACCUCGCAGGCA